rnacentral:rRNA from 1 species
GACGAACGCUGGCGGCGUGCUUAACACAUGCAAGUCGAACGGAAAGGCCCUGCUUUUGUGGGGUGCUCGAGUGGCGAACGGGUGAGUAACACGUGAGUAACCUGCCCUGGACUUUGGGAUAACUUCAGGAAACUGGGGCUAAUACCGGAUAGGAGCUCCUGCUGCAUGGUGGGGGUUGGAAAGUUUCGGCGGUUGGGGUUGGACUCGCGGCUUAUCAGCUUGUGGGUGGGGUAGUGGCUUACCAAGGCUUUGACGGGUAGCCGGCCUGAGAGGGUGACCGGCCACAUUGGGACUGAGAUACGGCCCAGACUCCUACGGGAGGCAGCAGUGGGGAAUUUUGCACGAUGGGCGGAAGCCUGAUGCAGCAACGCCGCGUGCGGGAUGACGGCCUUCGGGUUGUAAACCGCUUUCGCCUGUGACGAAGCGUGAGUGACGGUAAUGGGUAAAGAAGCACCGGCUAACUACGUG